rnacentral:rRNA from 1 species
GCAUAUCAAUAAGCGGAGGAAAAGAAACACACUGGCAUUGCCUUAGUACGGCGAGUGAGCGGCAAAAGCUCAAAUUUGAAAUCUGGCACCUUCGGUGUCCGAGUUGUAAUUUGAAGAAGGUAACUUUGGAGUUGGCUCUUGUCUAUGUUCCUUGGAACAGGACGUCACAGAGGGUGAGAAUCCCGUGCGAUGAGAUGCCCAAUUCUAUGUAAAGUGCUUUCGAAGAGUCGAGUUGUUUGGGAAUGCAGCUCUAAGUGGGUGGUAAAUUCCAUCUAAAGCUAAAUAUUGGCGAGAGACCGAUAGCGAACAAGUACAGUGAUGGAAAGAUGAAAAGAACUUUGAAAAGAGAGUGAAAAAGUACGUGAAAUUGUUGAAAGGGAAGGGCUUGAGAUCAGACUUGGUAUUUUGCGAUCCUUUCCUUCUUGGUUGGGUUCCUCGCAGCUUACUGGGCCAGCAUCGGUUUGGAUGGUAGGAUAAUGACUAAGGAAUGUGGCUCUACUUCGGUGGAGUGUUAUAGCCUUGGUUGAUACUGCCUGUCUAGACCGAGGACUGCGUCUUUGACUAGGAUGCUGGCAUAAUGAUCUUAAGCCACCCGUCUUGAAACACGGACC